rnacentral:rRNA from 1 species
UUGUGAGGUUAAGCGACUAAGCGUACACGGUGGAUGCCCUGGCAGUCAGAGGCGAUGAAGGACGUGCUAAUCUGCGAUAAGCGUCGGUGAGGUGAUAUGAACCGUUAUAACCGGCGAUUUCCGAAUGGGGAAACCCAGUGUGUUUCGACACACUAUCAUUAACUGAAUCCAUAGGUUAAUGAGGCGAACCGGGGGAACUGAAACAUCUAAGUACCCCGAGGAAAAGAAAUCAACCGAGAUUCCCCCAGUAGCGGCGAGCGAACGGGGAGGAGCCCAGAGCCUGAAUCAGUGUGUGUGUUAGUGGAAGCGUCUGGAAAGGCGCGCGAUACAGGGUGACAGCCCCGUACACAAAAAUGCACAUAUUGUGAGCUCGAUGAGUAGGGCGGGACACGUGGUAUCCUGUCUGAAUAUGGGGGGACCAUCCUCCAAGGCUAAAUACUCCUGACUGACCGAUAGUGAACCAGUACCGUGAGGGAAAGGCGAAAAGAACCCCGGCGAGGGGAGUGAAAAAGAACCUGAAACCGUGUACGUACAAGCAGUGGGAGCCUCUUUAUGGGGUGACUGCGUACCUUUUGUAUAAUGGGUCAGCGACUUAUAUUCUGUAGCAAGGUUAACCGAAUAGGGGAGCCGAAGGGAAACCGAGUCUUAACUGGGCGUUAAGUUGCAGGGUAUAGACCCGAAACCCGGUGAUCUAGCCAUGGGCAGGUUGAAGGUUGGGUAACACUAACUGGAGGACCGAACCGACUAAUGUUGAAAAAUUAGCGGAUGACUUGUGGCUGGGGGUGAAAGGCCAAUCAAACCGGGAGAUAGCUGGUUCUCCCCGAAAGCUAUUUAGGUAGCGCCUCGUGAAUUCAUCUCCGGGGGUAGAGCACUGUUUCGGCAAGGGGGUCAUCCCGACUUACCAACCCGAUGCAAACUGCGAAUACCGGAGAAUGUUAUCACGGGAGACACACGGCGGGUGCUAACGUCCGUCGUGAAGAGGGAAACAACCCAGACCGCCAGCUAAGGUCCCAAAGUCAUGGUUAAGUGGGAAACGAUGUGGGAAGGCCCAGACAGCCAGGAUGUUGGCUUAGAAGCAGCCAUCAUUUAAAGAAAGCGUAAUAGCUCACUGGUCGAGUCGGCCUGCGCGGAAGAUGUAACGGGGCUAAACCAUGCACCGAAGCUGCGGCAGCGACACUAUGUGUUGUUGGGUAGGGGAGCGUUCUGUAAGCCUGUGAAGGUGGCCUGUGAGGGUUGCUGGAGGUAUCAGAAGUGCGAAUGCUGACAUAAGUAACGAUAAAGCGGGUGAAAAGCCCGCUCGCCGGAAGACCAAGGGUUCCUGUCCAACGUUAAUCGGGGCAGGGUGAGUCGACCCCUAAGGCGAGGCCGAAAGGCGUAGUCGAUGGGAAACAGGUUAAUAUUCCUGUACUUGGUGUUACUGCGAAGGGGGGACGGAGAAGGCUAUGUUGGCCGGGCGACGGUUGUCCCGGUUUAAGCGUGUAGGCUGGUUUUCCAGGCAAAUCCGGAAAACCAAGGCUGAGGCGUGAUGACGAGGCACUACGGUGCUGAAGCGACAAAUGCCCUGCUUCCAGGAAAAGCCUCUAAGCAUCAGGUAACAUCAAAUCGUACCCCAAACCGACACAGGUGGUCAGGUAGAGAAUACCAAGGCGCUUGAGAGAACUCGGGUGAAGGAACUAGGCAAAAUGGUGCCGUAACUUCGGGAGAAGGCACGCUGAUAUGUAGGUGAAGCGACUUGCUCGUGGAGCUGAAAUCAGUCGAAGAUACCAGCUGGCUGCAACUGUUUAUUAAAAACACAGCACUGUGCAAACACGAAAGUGGACGUAUACGGUGUGACGCCUGCCCGGUGCCGGAAGGUUAAUUGAUGGGGUUAGCGGUAACGCGAAGCUCUUGAUCGAAGCCCCGGUAAACGGCGGCCGUAACUAUAACGGUCCUAAGGUAGCGAAAUUCCUUGUCGGGUAAGUUCCGACCUGCACGAAUGGCGUAAUGAUGGCCAGGCUGUCUCCACCCGAGACUCAGUGAAAUUGAACUCGCUGUGAAGAUGCAGUGUACCCGCGGCAAGACGGAAAGACCCCGUGAACCUUUACUAUAGCUUGACACUGAACAUUGAGCCUUGAUGUGUAGGAUAGGUGGGAGGCUUUGAAGUGUGGACGCCAGUCUGCAUGGAGCCGACCUUGAAAUACCACCCUUUAAUGUUUGAUGUUCUAACGUUGGCCCGUAAUCCGGGUUGCGGACAGUGUCUGGUGGGUAGUUUGACUGGGGCGGUCUCCUCCUAAAGAGUAACGGAGGAGCACGAAGGUUGGCUAAUCCUGGUCGGACAUCAGGAGGUUAGUGCAAUGGCAUAAGCCAGCUUGACUGCGAGCGUGACGGCGCGAGCAGGUGCGAAAGCAGGUCAUAGUGAUCCGGUGGUUCUGAAUGGAAGGGCCAUCGCUCAACGGAUAAAAGGUACUCCGGGGAUAACAGGCUGAUACCGCCCAAGAGUUCAUAUCGACGGCGGUGUUUGGCACCUCGAUGUCGGCUCAUCACAUCCUGGGGCUGAAGUAGGUCCCAAGGGUAUGGCUGUUCGCCAUUUAAAGUGGUACGCGAGCUGGGUUUAGAACGUCGUGAGACAGUUCGGUCCCUAUCUGCCGUGGGCGCUGGAGAACUGAGGGGGGCUGCUCCUAGUACGAGAGGACCGGAGUGGACGCAUCACUGGUGUUCGGGUUGUCAUGCCAAUGGCACUGCCCGGUAGCUAAAUGCGGAAGAGAUAAGUGCUGAAAGCAUCUAAGCACGAAACUUGCCCCGAGAUGAGUUCUCCCUGAGACUUAGAGUCUCCUGAAGGAACGUUGAAGACGACGACGUUGAUAGGCCGGGUGUGUAAGCGCAGCGAUGCGUUGAGCUAACCGGUACUAAUGAACCGUGAGG